rnacentral:rRNA from 1 species
UACGGGGGGGGCAAGCGUUGUUCGGAAUUACUGGGCGUAAAGGGCUCGUAGGUGGCCAACUAAGUCAGACGUGAAAUCCCUCGGCUUAACCGGGGAACUGCGUCUGAUACUGGAUGGCUUGAGGUUGGGAGAGGGAUGCGGAAUUCCAGGUGUAGCGGUGAAAUGCGUAGAUAUCUGGAGGAACACCGGUGGCGAAGGCGGCAUCCUGGACCAAUUCUGACGCUGAGGAGCGAAAGCGUGGGGAGCGAACAGG